GCUGCCCGCCCGGCCGGCCGGCGACCGGUCACAGCCGUUCCGGCGAGGAGGACGGGCAGCGGGCGGCCUCUGCCACCCGCGGUAUCUGGUAGUGACGGGAAGGCGGGAGCAGGGCAGAGCGGUUCCUACCAGCCCUUCGGCGAUCUGCCGCCCGGGCUCCCCGCCAGCGAGCUCCUGGUUAGCCAAGGUGCGAGGUCUCAGGGCGGUCGGUCGCGCCUUGGCCGCAGACGUGGCUGGUCCGGUGUCGGGCGAGGCGAAGGGUGCGAGGGCAGCCCGCCUCGUUACUCGGUGUGACUCAAGCCUGAGUAGCGUGUGUUGGAAAACAUGUGGGAACUCCUCGCUUGAAGUGUCCGCUCUCGAGCGGGGAGCUGGAGCAGCUGUCCCUUUGCACGCUGCCUGCUGCGUUCGUGAAACCCGAACGCUCACCCAGAAAACGUCGGUAGGGGAAAAUAACAAGCUUUCCCGGUUACUGGCUGGAUACGCAGGAAGAGCCAAGAGUGAUUUUUCUAGGGAGAGCUGACUUAGCAUAGGUGAGGCCAACAGCAUGCCUGUGCGAAGGGACCGGGAGGGUGAAUCCCUCUGGAUUCACUCAAUCAAACUCCCUUUUAGCCCGGGAUAGAUGGCAUUUCCUUGAAAAACAAGUACAUAUGUCCUCCAGCAUAACUUAUUCAGGAGCUCUGAUCUUUGUGGACAGUUAAGUAUGGGAUACCAUUUCAGGACUGUGUCUCAAACCGGAGCUUCUAUAGUCUGUAAAUACAUUUCUUUUUCUUCAGCAUAGACCAGCUUUAUGGUAAAUAAUGAUGGUUGCAGAAAGCAAAGUUUUCUCUGUGAUUUUGUGUCAAUGAAGACCUCUGACUUUGAGAAUCGAAUAGGAAGGGUGUUCUUAGUCUAAUGUGUUCUUGCUAAUCAGUUCAGCUGGUGUGUAUAUAUGUGACAUGGGGUUUUUCUCUUUGCGGCACAAAUAGCCUGUCCUGUUAACAUGGUUACUAAACUUUCCAAAAUCAAAUAUGUAGUGAGGGUCCUGUGACAUGCUUAAUUCUUACCUGAAAGAGGUUAACUCAACUUUUUGUGGUUACGUGGAACAAGAGUUACUGGCAUCAGACUUAGUUGUAGCUGAAGCAUUUGUUAUGCCUGUCUGCACUGACACUGGAGCAAACACUGGAGUGUUUGUGGAAAGUUACAACUGUAAAUUUCAAGGCAGUUGGAAAUGACAGCUAAAGAAAA